GCCACUGAUAGUGAGCCACUGCAUCACACAGGGAACCAAAAGAUGGUGCUGUUACUGCACAGGAACAGGAAAAAAGGUGGAUUCCAAUCUCUGCUGCAGUCUUUGGGGUCAGCGAGGGAGCAGGGAAGAGUUGAAGUGGUCACUGCUUCUCUUUCAGGAAAAUAAUCUGUCCCACCAUGCUCUGUUUGCUUCCUGCCUGCGCUCAACAGACUUCAAAGUCUCCCACCUGCAUCGUUGAUCACUGGGAAUCAGCACUUUGCAAGCUCAAAAGAAUGGAUUAUUUUUUACUGUCACUGAUUUUUUCUUUCCUACAAGCGUCCCGUGCCACUGCUUUAAGCUUUUUACUUUCAGCCAUCUCCUGCGGGGAAUUCAGUUCUGCUCUGAUCUCCCUGACCAUGUGAAUGCCGACAGCUGGAGACCUGGUACAGUUGCCAUGAGGACACCUGAUGCAAACAUAAUGCUGUAGUGGGAUUAAGACUAUUUAUAAGAACUGUUUACUUGCUUUUUAGCUGAAGCAGAUGGAAAAUACACUGAUGAAAAUAUCUGUUAUAAGUGGAUUAAGAAAAUUCACAGUCUAUACUGCUGAGAACUCUAGCGAAACAUCUAAAAAAAGACCCCUCAAAAUAUGAUGCUCACGUUAUUUUUAAAGUUGGAGGUAAGAAGUAGGGAGAAGUAACCUUAUCUCUUCAGAAUCACCAUUAAAAUUUCAGACUUCUCUGUGCGUUUGUACAGUGCCUAUUGCAAAAGGGUCUGACCGAGGCCUCUAACGGUAGCACGUUGUAACUACUCCAGGUCUCGUGAGUGCUUCAUGUGUGUAAAUGUCCUCAGUGUAUUCCCAAAGAGUCAGGCAGGGUUCGCCGUGCUGUCCUUGUAUAUCCUUCUCGUCCUGUUUUGGGGUGUGCAGAGGCUAUGCCUUCCCGCUGGGGAAAUUCUCUUCUGAAGGAGCCUGUUCUGAUGUGAAAGUGAUCCAAGUCUGUUUCUGAGAUAUUCCAGUUAUUGGCAAAAUCUAGAAAAAAGCCUUGAAUUUGUAUUGUUGAUUUAACAACAUCAUUAUGAAUGAAAUAAUUGUAGGAAACAAUGCCUGUUCCUACAUAAACAAUAUGAAGAUAACUGCUGAUAAUCACAUUAUUACAUUGCAUUCCUCAUGCUUUUUUUUUU
rnacentral:lncRNA from 1 species